AACUUUAUUCUAUUGCAUGUCGGGUUAGAGAAGCUGUGCAAGCUUCUCUAACCGAUACUGCAUGGAAUAAAUAG
rnacentral:pre_miRNA from 1 species